rnacentral:rRNA from 1 species
UACGUAGGGUGCAAGCGUUGUCCGGAAUUAUUGGGCGUAAAGAGCUCGUAGGCGGUCUGUCGCGUCGGCUGUGAAAACCCGGAGCUCAACUCCGGGCCUGCAGUCGAUACGGGCAGACUGGAGUUCGGCAGGGGAGACUGGAAUUCCUGGUGUAACGGUAGAAAUGCGCAGAUAUCAGGAGGAACACCGAUGGCGAAGGCAGGUCUCUGGGCCACUACUGACGCUGAGAAGCGAAAGCAUGGGGAGCGAACAGG